UACGGGGGGAGCAAGCGUUGUUCGGAUUUACUGGGCGUAAAGGGCGCGUAGGCGGUAGCACAAGUCAGUUGUGAAAUCUCCGGGCUUAACUCGGAAAGGUCAACUGAUACUGUGCGACUAGAGUGCAGAAGGGGCAACUGGAAUUCUCGGUGUAGCGGUGAAAUGCGUAGAUAUCGAGAGGAACACCUGCGGCGAGGGCGGGUUGCUGGGCUGACACUGACGCUGAGGCGCGAAAGCCAGGGGAGCGAACGGG
rnacentral:rRNA from 1 species